rnacentral:rRNA from 1 species
AUGCACGCUGGCGGCGUGCCUCAUCCCUGCCAGUCGCGCGGACAGACGAGGAGCUUGCUCCUCUGACGUUAGCGGCGGACGGGUGAGUAACACGUGGAUAACCUACCUAUAAGACUGGGAUAACUUCGGGAAACCGGAGCUAAUACCGGAUAAUAUAUUGAACCGCAUGGUUCAAUAGUGAAAGACGGUUUUGCUGUCACUUAUAGAUGGAUCCGCGCCGCAUUAGCUAGUUGGUAAGGUAACGGCUUACCAAGGCAACGAUGCGUAGCCGACCUGAGAGGGUGAUCGGCCACACUGGAACUGAGACACGGUCCAGACUCCUACGGGAGGCAGCAGUAGGGAAUCUUCCGCAAUGGGCGAAAGCCUGACGGAGCAACGCCGCGUGAGUGAUGAAGGUCUUCGGAUCGUAAAACUCUGUUAUUAGGGAAGAACAAAUGUGUAAGUAACUAUGCACGUCUUGACGGUACCUAAUCAGAAAGCCACGGCUAACUAUGUG